UUUUAUUUGAGCAAAGUAUGUAUAUUUACCUUAUGUGGCAAUUAUUGGCUGGUAUGCAUUCACCAAACGCCGUCUUUCUCCUUGGAGAUACUGCUUUGAAUAGCUUAAGGUUCUCAUGGUUCUGGAUCUCCUAACUUUGUUUUGUGGACAUCUAUAUAUGUCAUUUUCAAAUGGGUCAUCCAUGCUUGUGUCUCACUUUGGUGGCCAUACCCAUUUCUUGACUUGUCAUCCCCUUAUGCUCCACUAUGGAAUUUUGAUUUUGCCAAAUAAUGCCUCCAUGAAUUGAAAUACUCGGAAGGUAUUUUUCCACAAGAAGAAAUACCAAAAUGCCUUUAUUUAUUUAUUUUUUCUCUAAAAAAACAAUGAAUAUGAGAAUUGUGGGGUCCAUGUGGUAUAUGUAGACAUCCAACCCCUCC